rnacentral:rRNA from 1 species
UACGAAGGGGGCUAGCGUUGUUCGGAAUUACUGGGCGUAAAGGGCGCGUAGGCGGUCCUGAUCGUCGGAUGUGAAAGGCCUGGGCUCAACCUGGGAAUGGCAUCCGAUACGGCGGGACUGGAGUGUGGGAGAGGUUGGUGGAAUUCCCAGUGUAGAGGUGAAAUUCGUAGAUAUUGGGAAGAACACCGGUGGCGAAGGCGGCCAACUGGACCACAACUGACGCUGAGCGCGA